rnacentral:rRNA from 1 species
GACGAACGCUGGCGGCGUGCCUAAUACAUGCAAGUUGAGCGCUGAAGGUUGGUACUUGUACCGACUGGAUGAGCAGCGAACGGGUGAGUAACGCGUGGGGAAUCUGCCUUUGAGCGGGGGACAACAUUUGGAAACGAAUGCUAAUACCGCAUAAAAACUUUAAACACAAGUUUUAAGUUUGAAAGAUGCAAUUGCAUCACUCAAAGAUGAUCCCGCGUUGUAUUAGCUAGUUGGUGAGGUAAAGGCUCACCAAGGCGAUGAUACAUAGCCGACCUGAGAGGGUGAUCGGCCACAUUGGGACUGAGACACGGCCCAAACUCCUACGGGAGGCAGCAGUAGGGAAUCUUCGGCAAGGGACGAAAGUCUGACCGAGCAACGCCGCGUGAGUGAAGAAGGUUUUCGGAUCGUAAAACUCUGUUGGUAGAGAAGAACGUUGGUGAGAGUGGAAAGCUCAUCAAGUGACGGUAACUACCCAGAAAGGGACGGCUAACUACGUG